rnacentral:rRNA from 1 species
GACGAACGCUGGCGGCGUGCCUAAUACAUGCAAGUAGAACGCUGAAGAGAGGAGCUUGCUCUUCUUGGAUGAGUUGCGAACGGGUGAGUAACGCGUAGGUAACCUGCCUUGUAGCGGGGGAUAACUAUUGGAAACGAUAGCUAAUACCGCAUAACAAUGGAUGACACAUGUCAUUUAUUUGAAAGGGGCAAUUGUUCCACUACAAGAUGGACCUGCGUUGUAUUAGCUAGUAGGUGAGGUAAUGGCUCACCUAGGCGACGAUACAUAGCCGACCUGAGAGGGUGAUCGGCCACACUGGGACUGAGACACGGCCCAGACUCCUACGGGAGGCAGCAGUAGGGAAUCUUCGGCAAUGGGGGCAACCCUGACCGAGCAACGCCGCGUGAGUGAAGAAGGGUGUCGGAUCGUAAAGCUCUGUUGUAAGUCAAGAACGGGUGUGAGAGUGGAAAGUUCACACUGUGACGGUAGCUUACCAGAAAGGGACGGCUAACUACGUG